CAGUGUCGGUUGAAAACGGCUUGGAUGAGCUGUGGAUAGGAGUGAAAGGCUAAUCAAACCUGGAGAUAGCUGGUUCUCCCCGAAAUAUAUUUAGGUAUAGCCUCAGGAAUUACUAGCAGAGGUAGAGCACUGGAUGGGCUAGGGGUCCUACCAGAUUACCAAACCCAACCAAACUCCGAAUGCUGCUAAGUAUAAUCCUGGGAGUCAGACUGCGGGAGAUAAGUUCCGUAGUCGAGAGGGAAACAACCCAGACCGCCAGCUAAGGUCCCAAAAUAUGUGCUAAGUGUAAAAGGAUGUGGAAACGCUCAGACAACCAGGAGGUUGGCUUAGAGGCAGCCAUCCUUUAAAGAAAGCGUAACAGCUCACUGGUCAAGUGGGUCUGCGCCUAAAAUGUAACGGGGCUCAAGCACAUUACCGAAGCUGCGGAGGGGCGACUUUGUCGCCCUUGGUAGGGGAGCAUUUCAGUAAUCGGUGAAGGCAGACCGUGAGGACUGCUGGAGAAACUGGAAGAGAUUAUGCUGACAUGAGUAGCGAUAAUGCCGGUGAGAAACCGGCACGCCGUAAGCCUAAGGUUUCCUGAGGAAGGUUAAUCCUCUCAGGGUCAGUCGAUCCCUAAGCCGAGGCCGAAAGGCGUAGGCGAUGGAAAACAGGUUAAUAUUCCUGUACCACCAGAUUAGCGUUUGAGUGAUGGGGGGACGUAGAAGGGUAGGCCAUCCUACUGUUGGAAUAGUAGGUUCAAGCUCGUAGGAGGAUAUUCCAGGCAAAUCCGGAAUAUCACAACUCCGAGAAGCGAUGAGGAGUCCAUUUGGACAUAAACUGGUUGAUCCCAUGCUACCAAGAAAAGCCUCUAGCGAGUUAUUUUGGUGAUCGUACCGCAAACCGACACAGGUAGGCAGGGAGAGCAUCCCAAGGCGCUUGAGAUAACCCUCGUUAAGGAACUCGGCCAAUUGACUCCGUAACUUAGGGAGAAGGAGUGCCCACACUAGGUGAAGGAACUUGCUUCUGGAGCCGAAGUGGGUCGCAGAGAAACGGCUGUAGCGACUGUUUAUUAAAAACACAGGUCUCUGCUAAGUCGCAAGACGAUGUAUAGGGACUGACGCCUGCCCGGUGCUGGAAGGUUAAGGAGAGAUGUUAUUUCCGCCUUUGGCGGAGAGAAGCUUCGAACCGAAGCCCCAGUAAACGGCGGCC
rnacentral:rRNA from 1 species